rnacentral:rRNA from 1 species
AUGGACAAGAAGAGAAGGGGCGGCAGGGCCGCCUUCAGCCAUAAGACCGACUUCUGCUGCAUCCAGCAACUGAACGAUUCUCUUAAUGAUGGAUUCUAUGUCCUACACCACAUGCUGGAGUACAGACGGGAUCACCAGAACCUUCACAUGGCACCUAGAUCUGGCGAUGCCCAUAUUCUGCAAUGGGCAAAGGACAUAGGAGAUAUCGAGGAUCAUCGACUUCGAGCUGAGUUCUAUAACAUCCAGCGCGAACUUGCUCAAAUCAUCAUGAAUGAGGUCGUCGGAAAAACAGGGAUGUUCCAUGCAGAAGGAUAA